rnacentral:rRNA from 1 species
UACGUAGGGUGCGAGCGUUGUCCGGAAUUACUGGGCGUAAAGAGCUCGUAGGUGGUUUGUCGCGUUGUUCGUGAAAUUCCCUGGCUUAACUGGGGGCGUGCGGGCGAUACGGGCAGACUGGAGUACUGCAGGGGAGACUGGAAUUCCUGGUGUAGCGGUGGAAUGCGCAGAUAUCAGGAGGAACACCGGUGGCGAAGGCGGGUCUCUGGGCAGUAACUGACGCUGAGGAGCGAAAGCGUGGGUAGCGAACAGG